rnacentral:rRNA from 1 species
GAUGAACGCUAGCGACAGGCCUAACACAUGCAAGUCGAGGGGCAGCACAAGGAGCAAUCUGAGGUGGCGACCGGCGCACGGGUGAGUAACACGUAUGCAACCUGCCUUCAACAAGGGGGAUAACCCGUUGAAAAACGGACUAAUACCCUAUAAUACAGGGGUCCCGCAUGGGGAUAUUUGUUAAAGAUUGAUCGGUUGAAGAUGGGCAUGCGUUCCAUUAGCUAGUUGGCGGGGUAACGGCCCACCAAGGCAACGAUGGAUAGGGGAACUGAGAGGUUUAUCCCCCACACUGGUACUGAGACACGGGACCAGGACUCCUACGGGAGGCAGCAGUGAGGAAUAUUGGUCAAUGGACGCAAGUCUGAACCAGCCACGUCGCGUGAAGGAAGACGGCCCUACGGGGUUGUAAACUUCUUUUAUACGGGAAUAAAGUGCCCCCACGCGUGGGGUUUUGCAUGUACCGUAUGAAUAAGGAUCGGCUAACUCCGUG